rnacentral:misc_RNA from 1 species
AUUGUUCUGUAAUCAUUUACAUAACUGAUUUCCCAAAAAAUCAUUUCAAUCUAGUGACAAACACUUACAAUUAGCUUGUGUCUGUAUACAUGAAUUAUUCUUUGGUACAACCCCCUCGAUGAAAAUGGUCGCUUGCCGCCAAAGGGGGGGCGCGACUAGUAUGAAGGAGACAACACCCUAUACGAUAAAGCUUGUCCCCAGGUUUGGGGUAACGUGAGAAUUGUUUGAAUGCGAUUUAAGUGCCUAUUACGGAAAAAAGUGGAUUUUUCGCUACAAAAUGUAAAAAAAGAAGAGCGACGAUCUUGCCCUUCGAGCACAUACAGUAUAUGCUCUAAGAUCGUACUCUAUAAACCUGCAUGUAUGAACACACUGUAAAUUCUUAAAAUACGCAUUUGAACUGAGUGAAAACCAGUGAAAACCGAGUAAUUGCUUUACCAAUGUCAACCGACAUUAAAUCCGAGGAAACAUGGCAAACGGCGAAUCGCAAGAUCAUAGGUGGAAGGGGGAGCCCCAAAAACUGGACCAACUUUUGAGCCGAGCGGUGGUCGAGUGUAGUCACUGAUAUAUAUAUACACUGGAUUGGAUUUAAGCGUGGUGCCGUCACGCCAAUUGAACGUAACAAUUAUUGAGGUAACAAUGAGUACCUGCGUUUUUUGCAAAACAAAGUAAUCAAAAUAUUGUGGGCGAUCAUUUCACAAAUUUCCCGUGAAAGAUGUGUUGCACCUUCAGCAGUGGUUAAAAGAAAUGAAGAGGAAGGACUGGAAGCCAAACCGAAAUAGCACAUUGUGUUCGGCUCAUUUUACAAAUGACUGCUUUGAUAGGACAGGAUUCCUAAUUACAUUGAAAAAGAACAGUGUACCAACUAUAUUUGACAACCCAAAAUCAGAGUGUUCAUCUUGUCACCGAUUAAGGGAAUAUGGACGUGGCUAUUCAUUCUUCAAGUUCCCAUUGGAUGAACCUGAUAUUAUGAAGCAGUGGAUCGCAAAUAUAAACAUUGGUCCGUGGUCUCCAUCAAGUGAUAGCUUUCUGUGUUCCGACCACUUUGAACUCUCUUGCUUUCAGAAGAAAAGUAAAAAUUAUAUAACUUUACGAAAAGGCAGUAUCCCAACGUUAUUUGGUAAGAUCUGAAACUAUUAAUCCCUUUUAGGUCAGAGAAAACUCAGUGUGCAUAAAGACACGUUGAUGUGAUGCACUAUUGCGUCAAUGUCGUCGAAGCGGUUAAUUACCUACAGAUUAUAAAGUGCUCUGUUACAGAAAAAUCGUGUGUGACACAUUUCUGUGUAUUUCCAUUGUCGUUAUUUAUUAGUAACUUAUCUGUAGGUGAAAACUUGCAGCAGACCGAAUUUCAGGAUGAAUCCGAUCGGCCCACCACAGUGAAUGUAACCAAAUUACAUGAGCACCUACACAUUUGUACCUGAUUUGCAUGCUCAGAUAUGUACAUCUUUUUUAUUUUCUUUUGAUUGUGCUUGUAACUUUUUCUUCAUGUGAAUGGAUUGUGGAUUGAUACUACUAAUUAUAUUGUUGUGGUUUAUCGCACGCAACUCUAUAAAAAUUCCUUAACGUUUGCAAGGAAUGUUUUAUUCUCCAUAUUUUUGAAUAAAGUUUUUACUCACCCAAUUCGAUAUAGUUUAAUUCAAAACUUUUUUUACAUGUCUUAAGCUCCACUUUGAUGAUCAAUGGAUGGUAAAUGGAUUCCCUAACGGUUGAAUUAGUGUUAUACAAAUUUUUGAAUAAUCCGUAUGAAAUUCAGCCCACCAUAGGAUAAAGGAUAAUGGACGGAAACUUCUUAGAAUUGAGGACUUCUUUUGAACAUAAAGAAAAAUCACGCUUAAAUACAAGUUUUUCGUCAUAUUAUUUAAUGAUCUUUUACAUCAUAUAAUUGUAAAUAAUAAUAUACCUUCGAAAAAAUGA